CAAGUCGAACGGCAGCACGGAGAGCUUGCCCUCUGGUGGCGAGUGGCGAACGGGUGAGUAAUAUAUCGGAACGUAUCCAAUAAUGGGGGAUAACGAGUCGAAAGAUUCGCUAAUACCGCAUACGCCCUACGGGGGAAAGCAGGGGAUCGUAAGACCUUGCGUUAAUGGAGCGGCCGAUAUCUGAUUAGCUUGUUGGUGAGGUAAGGGCUCACCAAGGCGACGAUCAGUAGCUGGUUUGAGAGAACGACCAGCCACACUGGAACUGAGACACGGUCCAGACUCCUACGGGAGGCAGCAGUGGGGAAUUUUGGACAAUGGGGGCAACCCUGAUCCAGCCAUUCCGCGUGAGUGAAGAAGGCCUUCGGGUUGUAAAGCUCUUUCGCAAGGGAAGAAAACUUAUGAUCGAAUAAAUCAUGAGGUUGACGGUACCUUGAUAAGAAGCACCGGCUAACUACGUGCCAGCAGCCGCGGUAAUACGUAGGGUGCGAGCGUUAAUCGGAAUUACUGGGCGUAAAGCGUGCGCAGGCGGUUUUGUAAGUCGGAUGUGAAAUCCCCGGGCUCAACCUGGGAACUGCGUUCGAAACUGCAAGGCUAGAGUGUGUCAGAGGGGGGUAGAAUUCCACGUGUAGCAGUGAAAUGCGUAGAGAUGUGGAGGAAUACCAAUGGAGAAGGCAGCCCCCUGGGAUAACACUGACGCUCAUGCACGAAAGCGUGGGGAGCAAACAGGAUUAUAUACCCUGGUAGUCCACGCCCUAAACGAUGUCAACUAGUUGUUGGGAUAGUAAAAUCUAUGAGUAACGUAUCUAACGCGUGAAGUUGACCGCCUGGGAGUACGGUCGCAGAUUAAAACUCACAGGAUUGACGG
rnacentral:rRNA from 1 species